rnacentral:rRNA from 1 species
GACGAACGCUGGCGGCGUGCUUAACACAUGCAAGUCGAACGAAGUGGGAACGGGUGAGUAAUACGUGGGUAACCUCCCUCCUUUUUGGGAUAAGCCUUGGAAACGGGGUCUAAACCGAAUAGAUGGGCUCGCGGCCUAUCUGCUUGUUGGUGGGGUGAUGGCCUACCAAGGCGGUGACGGGUAGCCGGCCUGAGAGGGUGGCCGGGCAAACUGGGAAUGGGACAAGGCCCAGACUCCUACGGGAGGCAGCAGUAGGGAAUCUUCGGCAAUGGGGGGAAACCUGACCACGCAACGCCGCGUGAGUGAAGAAGGUUUUCGGAUCGUAAAGCUCUGUUGUUAAGGAAGCGGUACUUAACCAGAAAGGGACGGCUAACUACGUGCCAGCAGCCGCGGUAAUAC